UAUGUAGGGUGCGAGCGUUAAUCGGAAUUACUGGGCGUAAAGCGUGCGCAGGCGGUGAUGUAAGACAGGUGUGAAAUCCCCGGGCUUAACCUGGGAAUGGCAUUUGGGACUGCAAGGCUGGAGUGCGGCAGAGGAGACUGGAAUUCCUGGUGUAGCAGUGAAAUGCGUAGAUAUCAGGAGGAAUACCGAUGGCGAAGGCAGGUCUCUGGGCUGACACUGACGCUCAUGCACGAAAGCGUGGGGAGCAAACAGG
rnacentral:rRNA from 1 species